GUUUGAUCCUGGCUCAGGAUGAACGCUGGCGGCGUGCCUAAUACAUGCAAGUCGAGCGGACUUGAUGGGAGCUUGCUCCCUGAUAGUCAGCGGCGGACGGGUGAGUAACACGUGGGCAACCUACCUUUAAGACUGGGAUAACUUCGGGAAACCGGAGCUAAUACCGGAUAACAUGUAAGACCACAUGGUCUUACAUUAAAAGAUGGCUUCGGCUAUCACUUAUAGAUGGGCCCGCGGCGCAUUAGCUAGUUGGUGAGGUAAUGGCUCACCAAGGCGACGAUGCGUAGCCGACCUGAGAGGGUGAUCGGCCACACUGGGACUGAGACACGGCCCAGACUCCUACGGGAGGCAGCAGUAGGGAAUCUUCCGCAAUGGACGAAAGUCUGACGGAGCAACGCCGCGUGAACGAUGAAGGCUUUCGGGUCGUAAAGUUCUGUUGUUAGGGAAGAACAAGUACCAGAGUAACUGCUGGUACCUUGACGGUACCUAACCAGAAAGCCACGGCUAACUACGUGCCAGCAGCCGCGGUAAUACGUAGGUGGCAAGCGUUAUCCGGAAUUAUUGGGCGUAAAGCGCUCGCAGGCGGUCUUUUAAGUCUGAUGUGAAAGCCCACGGCUCAACCGUGGAGGGUCAUUGGAAACUGGGAGACUUGAGUGCAGAAGAGGAGAGUGGAAUUCCACGUGUAGCGGUGAAAUGCGUAGAGAUGUGGAGGAACACCAGUGGCGAAGGCGACUCUCUGGUCUGUAACUGACGCUGAGGAGCGAAAGCGUGGGGAGCGAACAGGAUUAGAUACCCUGGUAGUCCACGCCGUAAACGAUGAGUGCUAAGUGUUAGAGGGUUUCCGCCCUUUAGUGCUGCAGCUAACGCAUUAAGCACUCCGCCUGGGGAGUACGGUCGCAAGACUGAAACUCAAAGGAAUUGACGGGGGCCCGCACAAGCGGUGGAGCAUGUGGUUUAAUUCGAAGCAACGCGAAGAACCUUACCAGGUCUUGACAUCCUUAUGACUUCCCUAGAGAUAGGGCUUUCCCUUCGGGGACAUAAGUGACAGGUGGUGCAUGGUUGUCGUCAGCUCGUGUCGUGAGAUGUUGGGUUAA
rnacentral:rRNA from 1 species